rnacentral:lncRNA from 1 species
UUUUUUUGCCUCAGCGAGCCUUGCUGAAGGUGGACUGGGGGGGGGGGGGGGGGGAAGCAGCUGUUGUUUUAUCUGUAUCACACUAGAAAUCCUUUCCUUCACCUCGUGUCUGGUCCCUCACCCCUGAAGUCGAAUUUAGGCCUAUCUGUCAAAGGUGAGAGAUACCUCCUUGAAAUGCAGUGUAUGACAGAAAAUCAACCUAUAAGAAUGCAUAGUUUUCUCUGUUGGAAUAUUUCCGUAAGUAUUAUUCCAUGAAGUAAAGAUUCCUCUUGCAACAGACACUCAAAGAGAAAUUCAGAGGGAGCAAAAAGAAUCUUUAAAAGGGUUGACUGAACCUAUACUCAUAAAAGCCACACUCUGGGACAUUCGCUGAAUUCCAGGCUGUCAAAUGUUUCAUCUUCUUACUCCAAAUUGUAAAUGUCCUAAACUAUUAAGUAGGAAGAAACCAGACCUCACCAAUGUUCCCCUGGAGAACUGCCCCUGCCACCACCAAGGCGGCCUGAAGAUCUGUUCACAGCAGCCGACGCAGUCUCACUGGGAACAGCAGGGAGCCAUUUCGUGUAUACAAAGCACAGGUGAGAACAUAGGUGUCACAAUAGCAAAACCCUCAACUCUGGAGUGAGAGAAGCCUCACCUGUGCCCCUCAUAGACACUCUGGAGGUUUCUGAGGGGGAAGAAAGGAAUGUUUAUGGUUAAUUUGAGAACAUGCCAUUUUUCUAAGCAACUGCAGCCCACAAAUGAUCUUCAAGAGAUGGAACUAAAUGAAAUUCCAGUCUUGCUUUUUAUGCAAUUCUACCUCACAAAGUUUAUGCCACACUGAAUGGGUAGGACUUUCAUGGAAGAGUCUGAAACCUAAGAUAGUGACUGCUUGUGGGUCAUAGAGCUUUGGAGAAUCUGGAGAAACAUAUAAAAACCUUACUCCAGAAAAUUGCAGGUAUUCACAAAUACAUAACGAUGGGUGUAUUACUUCACGGUUUUUGGCAAGGAUAAGAAUUACCGUAGGGAAUAUAAAUAAUAUAUUUUUCUUGCUUAUGAUGUCAUACCAACACACUAAAAUCCCCAAAUCAAACUAGCCUAGUUUGAUCUUAAAACUUCAAGAUGCAGGAAGGAAAAUGGUACAUUAGUGGGUUAGUGGACACAAGAAAAGGAGCCCUAAUUAUCACCCUUUUCUGUCCAAAGCUGUAAUCAUGAAGCACUGAAAGGGGGAAGGGAGGAAGGGAAGUAGAGUAGUUGUAAAGAGUAAUAUAUUGCUUUGCUCAAUUUGCUACUGUUGGAAGGAAAUCAAAGAAAUGAUUUCUGACUCUGAUCCUUAUAUCUGAAAGUUGAUCAAUGGGGACAAAAAAUUAAGCAACAAGAUGCCAUAGGAAGUACCUUUUCCAUAGGUACUAGAUGGUAUUUCAGAAAACAAGGAAGAAUCUGUUCCUCACCUAUAAAAUCAGUAUGUAGAAUGUACCUAACAGGCAGAUAUGGAAGAUUAAAUGAGUUAAUGUGUCUGAAAGAGAUUUGCAGACUGUUAGGUACUGUACAAAUGUCAGCUAUUAUUUUUACAAAAGGCUGCAGACUUGUAAUAAUAGUCAGAUUAGAUAAAAAUUCAGAAGGUCCAGGAAUCCCUUUUGCUUGCUCCUACAUUAGCUUAAUGACCCGCCUGCAGAAUAUGUGCUCUGAACUCUGUUUGAAGGGCUAAAGAAGUGAACACACAGUUAUUUGUCCCAACAAAAUCAGUGAAGCCAGCUGAAGUUUGGAAUUCAAUCUGUAGCCAUGCUAAACUAGUCAAGAGUAUGUCACUUAUACUCUGCAUUUUCCAAAUUAUUUAAAAGAGUGAUCUCCAAAGGAGAUUGUGUGCCUCAAGUUUGGGUACAAGAAAAUCACUGGGAUGGAGGGAAGAAAAAAAUGAAAACUACUAUUCGCUUACAAUUCUUUAUCUUGUUUUUGAAAAAAUCAUUUUUGUUUAAUAAUCUGCAAAAUACGUUAGUACAGUUACACACACACACACAUAUAUAUAUAUAUACACACACACACACAAUUAGAAUGUGUUUAAUUGUUUUACUGCUUGGUGUGCAUACUCAAAAAUGUUUAAUAUGCAAGUUCUUUUAUGUAGGCAAUAUUAUUUGAUCUCCUGGCUGUAUUAAAUCAUUAUUCCCAUUACAGAGUCAAGGAAACCAAACACGGGACGACUGAUUUCUGCACAUCUUAUCCAGCAUAACCAAGAUAGCAUUCUAGAUUUUAACUCUAAGGUCUGCACUUUACAACCAGACAGGACCGACCGUUCUGAAUUCAGCUUUUGGCAGAAGUCACCAGAUGGUAGCCAGAGGACUGUAGGAUAGACUAGUGUUCUAUCAGAAAGCAUAAAUAAGGUGAAGACAUAAGAAGGGAACAUGGGUCGUGUGUCAGUUCAGAGCAGCUCUUCUAAUAUCAAAUAUUGUACAGUAAUAUGUAUAGUUACGUGUCAGCAUGCAGUGAUCCCAAACCAGUGCAAAUUGAUCAUGUCUACUAUUACCAUGGACAGCCUUUUAAGUGCUCCAGAUCUCAAAUAUGGAAAAUGAGAUACUUCUCUCCACCCUCUCUCCAAAAAACAAAAACAAAAACUUGUUACCAUCACUAUAUUGAUGUAUUAUUUAUAAAUGGCAUUUUCGGUAUUUCUUGCACUUUCCUAUCUUCCUGUAAGGUGCUAUUUAAAUGCUAACUAUUGUUUGUAUUUAACAAGCCUCAGCUAGAGGAAAAAUGUAUACCUCAGUUUCUGCAGUCAGGGCUAAAAAAGCUGAAAGGAAAUUGCCUAUCCUCGAUUACAACAACAUAAACUUGACUUCCUCACCUUGCAUUCUCUUUGCUGUUUUCUGGUUCAAAACUAUGUUCAGAGCCAAGAAUUCAUUUUCUUGGAUAUCUUCAAAAGAUAUGUUUCAACAACAGGAAUUAGUAUAAUUAUUGAAAACACCAAGUGACCUGUUCUUUUGUGUAAGUUUUGUGUACAUGGGUUGAAUGGCCAGAAAUGGGCCUUAAAAAAUACCCUAUUUUUCUGAACAUGGAGAUUUCAAAGAUAUGUGUGCUUCUGGGCAAAGAAUAAAUGUGAGAAGGCUCUGUCCUUUUAAAAGUCAAAAAGGAAAUGCAAAACUACCUUUAAUGUGUAAAAUAAGAUGGGUACUUAAUAAUUUACUAUACUAGUUGUAGUAAAUUAAUUAUAUUGAUACAUUUCCAUUUCUGAACUCUGUAUCUGAAGUAUGUCUUUAAAAUUCAGUAACUGGCCAUUUUUUUUUUCUUUAUGGUUCAGGUGGCUCAUAUUGCUGAUUCUGCAAGUUAGCCUGCUUGGAUAUGAGCCACUUACAUGUAAAAUACAUAUGUUACAGAAUCACAGAAUCUGAAGGCUGGCAAAAAUCUUUAAGAUAAGCUACUGAUCCCUUAUUUUUGAGAAGAGGAAAAAGGAUCCCCAAAAUGGGAAAUCAAACAGCAGCUGAGUCAGUAAAUAACAAGAAACCUAAAUAUGGUAUAUUUAUUCAACAAAUAUUUGCUGAGUAUGAAGCAUUGGCCUGAGUCUGGAUAGAGAGUUAUAUUCAAAGACAACGAUACGGCCACAUAAAUGAUCAAAAUUAAGGAAGAUAUUAGUUGGCAAGGAAGAUGUUUAACAACAUGUUCUUGUCUCUACUAUGUAAAUAAAUAUGCUAACAAGGCAACUUCAAUGUAAACAGCUGUUUACUAACAAGUAUUAUACCUAUCAGAUUUGCACACCAAGAAAUUGAGGGGAGAUGAUUAUCCUAAAACCUGUAUAUCAAGUAAGAGGUACAGUCAGGACCACUAUAAAUAUCAGCUAUGUGAAGCUGAAUGCAUCAUCAAAACAGCAUCAUUUUCAUGCUUGACCUUUUGUAUCAUCACCUGUAAUCAUGUGUGUGAAUGUGAGGUAUAAAACAGACAACAAUGAGUGAUGAUUUACAGCAAAUCACAGUGAAAAAAAUAACAUAAUGGGUCUUUAAAUGCAACCUUGCCUAAGUUGUAUAAAUAAUGUUAGUUGUCCUUGCUUGAAUUUUGUGGUAAACAGGCAGAAGGACGGAAAUGAAGAUCUAAUGGGAGAUGACGUUUAAAAAAACAAAAACAAAAACCAGAAGGACAAUUCUUUCUGAGUUGAAACAAAAUGUUAGUAUUGCUAAAAUUAGGUAAAAAUAUUUUUAAAUGUAUCCAUAUAAAUGGAAAUGCACAUAGUUCAUACAUUUCACUAUUUGCACACCUAAAUAAUCUUGACCUCAAGAAAGCCUAAAGCUGUUAUUAUUAUUUUUGAGGAUGAUUUCCUUGUGAAAGUGACAGAGGAGAAACAGAAUCAUAGAUUACCAUAUGUCUGAGAUAUCAUCAACAUAGGAAGUUGGCAUACUUGUAUGAAAACUCUU